CCAAACUCACUCAGAUCGAGAGAUAAAAACGCAGACGGAAUCGCCCUAGUCUGCUGCGGGGAGCGUUAAUGAGUAACAGCCCAGCCACCCCCGAGCCCGCGUGGAACUGCGUUUUCAAAUUCCGGUCUUAUCCUAUCUUGGGGCUCUUAGCUCUUCUGUUAAUGCUCAGAACAUCGGACUCCAGAGCUGUGCUCAGGCCCGCUUCAUUGCUUCCUCCGAAAGCCCCACUCCUGGGAAAUAGGCUCUCUUCAGUCACCCAAGGUCUAGACCAAUGUCCUACGGGCCGGGGGCGGGGCAGGCUGGCCCCAAGGAACAAUGAGGCCUUUGCCUCCUCUGCGUCCUGCCGGCCGGAUAUCCGUUCUGAAGCCGACUCUGGGCCUUUUCUGUCCAAAAGGAGGAAACCUUCUGUCCCCAGGGCUGCCAGGAAGUAGCAGGGAGGUGCCCUAGAGAAACAGAACAAUUAUUAUGCAUUGUAGGAUAUAAAGAAAUUAAUAAGCUUUCCAGGCCUUGGAAACUGGAAUGAUCAUUGAUUCUAACAGCCCAGGAUUGCCUUCUUUCCUGGUGGAGUAUACCCACUACCACCACUUCCUAGUGUCUGGAUUUGGAUCAGUGGAUCUCCCUGCGCCUCACUUACCUGCAAAGUGGGGACAAUAACAGUUCACCUGUCAGAAGGCAAAGAGCUGCGCAGGAAAUGGAAAGCCAUUGAAGACUUUUAACUGGAAGAUGAAAUGACCUGAUGUUUUAAGAAGAAUCACUUUUGCUGCUGUGCAGAGAAUGGAUUGGAAAGAGGCAAGAGUGAGAGCAGAGAGACUAGAAAAGUGGCAGAGAUCAGCAGACCAGGAGAACUGCUCAUGCCAGGGAGGACCCCGAGCCAAUGAACCUCUGUCCAACUUGAGCAGAGAGCUCUACCUGGGACCUAAAUAGGAAAAGAAAUGUAUUACUCCAGAGACUAAAAUGGGCUGGAGGCGGGGAGGAUGCAAGAAAUGCACACCAGACUGAAGGCGGCAGGAGGAGGCUUCAUGGAACACAGCAAGUGAUGUUACCUCUAAGCAUAAAUAGGCCCCAGCCAAUGACCCGGGACUAAUUAAUGCAUCUGAACUUUAAAACUGAAACCAAGACGAGUGGGGUUAAAUCAUGAGGGAACUCCACUCUGCUUUGCUGCCUUGGCCUGCACCAUGCUUUAUAUCUUCACUAGGUGAUGUGCUUGCUCCAAAGUACCGUGCUCACCACGGAGAACUUGGCUUUACUAAUCAACAAACUGCCUGUGUAUUUGGACUACACAAUACGUGCUUACAAUGGGAGAGGUUCCCUCCAGAAUGCUAGGAGGAAAGGAGAGUUGGGCAGCAAAAGACUGUGGACAUAAGGACAAGAGAAAGCUACCCCCUUGGCUUGGCUUUGCCCCCUUGCCACCGUCCCCGCCUUUUGACUUGAGCUACAGCAGCUAAAUAUUUGAAGAUGGCAGCUAAGUAUGAGGGAGAAGACGAGAAGCCUGGAGUGUGGGUGAUGUUAUCUCAUAAGACGGCUGGUGAAAUGGUGCUGAGCCUGAACUCUAAGCCAGCCACACACGCUGCUGGUCAGGGUUGAGGAAGUUCUGGGUUCUAGUCCUACCUCUGCUUCUAGCCAGCUAUGUGACUUUGGGAAGGUCUCUCCGCCUCCCUUAGUCUCAGUUUUCUUGUCUAUUAAAUCACUGGGCUAGACUACAGCACAUAAUU